rnacentral:rRNA from 1 species
UACGUAGGGUGCGAGCGUUAAUCGGAAUUACUGGGCGUAAAGCGUGCGCAGGCGGUUCGCUAAGACCGAUGUGAAAUCCCCGGGCUUAACCUGGGAACUGCAUUGGUGACUGGCGGGCUAGAGUAUGGCAGAGGGGGGUAGAAUUCCACGUGUAGCAGUGAAAUGCGUAGAGAUGUGGAGGAAUACCGAUGGCGAAGGCAGCCCCUGGGCCAAUACUGACGCUCAUGCACGAAAGCGUGGGGAGCAAACAGG